rnacentral:lncRNA from 1 species
AUUCCAGGGUUCUCUCCUUCAUAAUCAGCUAUGUCUUAGGCAACUUUAUGAUCUCCAGGUUAUAUGGUCUCUGAGGGAUCUUCUGGGCUCAGGGACUUGGGAACAGUCCCCUCCAGGUAGAGGGGAAUCCUUGGGGAAAGCCUCAGGAUGUAGCUGGAAACAUCCUAAGAGAUAUUUGGAUCGUAUCAGUGAACAAGACACCAAGAGCUCCAUCUCUGUGGAAUUUACAACCUAGUGGGAGUAAGAGUCAAUAAGCUAUAAAAAUAACAAAUACAGAGAUUAUAUAAGAUGUUAAAAGGUUAUAAGGGCUACAAAGAAAGAAAGAAAAGGGAAUGGGAAAUGGGUAUCAGAAGUGUCAGGCUAGAAGGAAAUGUUGCAAUUUUAAAUGGGGCAGUCAGGAAAAGUCUCAUUGAGAAGGCGACAUUUGAACAGAGACUUGAAGAUCAGGGAUGGAACCACAGGAUAUCUGGGCAAAGAGGAUUCUGGGCAGACAGAUGAGCCAGCACAAAGGCCCUGAGGUGGAAGCAUUCCUGGUGUGUACAGAAGACAGUAAGCAGGACAGGGUGGCUGCAGCAGAGUGAGCUGGUGGUGGAGAGAAAAGUGAGACCAAUCAUGUAGGGACUCGGGGACCACUGUAAGAACUUUGACUUUUACUCUGAGUAGAACAGCAAGCCAUUGGAGAGUCCUGAGCAGAGAAAGGACUGACCUGCCUCAUGUUUUAAAUCUGGCUGCCGUAUUGGAAGUAGAUUGGAGGAAAAAAAAGUGGAAGCCCUGGGACCCACCAUCAUGAACAAUCGGGGAGAAGACAAGAGGCCAGCAAAGGAAUGAACACAGGGACGCAUGAGACAUUUGGUGCCGAAGACCUGGGUCAGCGGGACUCCUUUGGGAGACCAGUCCCCCAUCCUCACCCUCACUCUGUGAAGAGAUCCACCUACGACCUUGGGUCCUCAGACCAACCAGCCUAAGGAACAUCUCACCUAUUUUAAAUCGGACAGGAAUGUCAGGCCUCUGAACCCAAGCUAAGCCAUCAU